rnacentral:rRNA from 1 species
GUGGGGAAUAUUGGACAAUGGGCGCAAGCCUGAUCCAGCCAUGCCGCGUGAGUGAUGAAGGCCUUAGGGUUGUAAAGCUCUUUCAGUGGGGACGAUAAUGACGGUACCCACAGAAGAAGCCCCGGCUAACUUCGUGCCAGCAGCCGCGGUAAUACGAAGGGGGCUAGCGUUGUUCGGAUUUACUGGGCGUAAAGCGCACGUAGGCGGAUCGUUAAGUCGUGGGUGAAAUCCUGGAGCUCAACUCCAGAACUGCCUUCGAUACUGGCGAUCUUGAGUCCGGAAGAGGUGAGUGGAACUCCUAGUGUAGAGGUGGAAUUCGUAGAUAUUAGGAAGAACACCAGUGGCGAAGGCGGCUCACUGGUCCGGUACUGACGCUGAGGUGCGAAAGCGUGGGGAGCAAACAGGAUUAGAAACCCUGGUAGUCC